rnacentral:lncRNA from 1 species
UGGCCGUGAUCACCCAUCCUCUAUGAUUAUCGUCCGGGUUUAGUUCUUAGGAACUGCUACAAUAUACCUGCUGUUGUAGAAAUUUGAUUUCUGUUUUAUGUACAAGUUAGUUUUCAUAAAGACUACUAUAUCAUUUAUUUUGAAAAUAAAAUAAUUGGAUGUGGCUUUAUGAUUAACAGUCUCCAUCAUUUAUAUGUUGAUGUGAAUA